CAUGGCCGACCUUAGCUCGCCCAAAACCAGAUUUUUGCUCCGGUUUACCUCCUUACUCGUCGUCGACCAUCGACCACCGCCCCGUGGCCACCGCUUCAUCACCGUCGGUGAAGAAAAUCUCGAGGUUAUUGAACCCGGGAUCGAGGAUUAGAGCGAAUCUUUCGGAGUUCAUCGUUUAGACCAAGGUGAAAGCUGAAACAGAUUGUUUUGGUUGGACUCGAUAGUUGCUAGAAACACGAAGAAUUUGAUUUUCUAUUUUUACGAGUUUAGAAUUUUAGACUUAUGUUAUUUUAGACUUCCGCUGUAGACAUGUGAUUUUGAUGGUUGAUUUUAGAGUAAAUCGUAUUUUUUUUUAUAACCCAAGUGACGAUUCAUCAAUAUCCGAAAUACCAGAUUUUGGUUCGUUA